UCAGUCCUAACCAUGCACAAAAGUUUUUUUUUUUUUUUUCCAGAGUCACUUUCCACAAACCUUCUAAUCACUUUUUGUAACAGCUACCUAUUCUCCCUAACACCUUUAGGUGAGCAGGGCUUCUCUAGUAGCUCAGAUGGUAAAGAACCUCCCUGCAAUGCAUUAGACCCAGAUUCGAUCACUGGGUCUGGAAGAUCCCCUGUAGAAGAAAAUGGCUGGCUACCCACUCCAGUAUUCUCGCCUGGGGAAUUCCAUGGACAGAGUGGCCUGGCGGGAUACAGUCCAUAGGUUGCAAAGAGUUGGACACGACUGAGCAACUGACACUUGGGGGAGUGGGAGAUACAACAUAUUGGGUGUAAGAUAGGCUCAAGUAUGUAUUGUACAACAUGGGGAAUAUAAUCAAUAUUUGUAAUAAAUGUAAACAGAAACAAAUCUUUAAAAAUGCA
rnacentral:lncRNA from 1 species